rnacentral:rRNA from 1 species
UACGGAGGGGGCUAGCGUUGUUCGGAAUUACUGGGCGUAAAGCGCACGUAGGCGGCUUUGUAAGUUAGAGGUGAAAGCCCGGGGCUCAACUCCGGAAUUGCCUUUAAGACUGCAUCGCUAGAACGUCGGAGAGGUAAGUGGAAUUCCGAGUGUAGAGGUGAAAUUCGUAGAUAUUCGGAAGAACACCAGUGGCGAAGGCGACUUACUGGACGACUGUUGACGCUGAGGUGCGAAGGCGUGGGGAGCAAACAGG